rnacentral:rRNA from 1 species
GAUGGGCUCGCGGCCUAUCAGCUUGUUGGUGAGGUAACGGCUCACCAAGGCUUCGACGGGUAGCCGGCCUGAGAGGGCGACCGGCCACACUGGGACUGAGAUACGGCCCAGACUCCUACGGGAGGCAGCAGUGGGGAAUAUUGCACAAUGGGCGAAAGCCUGAUGCAGCAACGCCGCGUGCGGGAUGACGGCCUUCGGGUUGUAAACCGCUUUCAGUUCCGACGAAGCGCAAGUGACGGUAGGAACAGAAGAAGGACCGGCCAACUACGUGCCAGCAGCCGCGGUGAUACGUAGGGUCCGAGCGUUGUCCGGAAUUAUUGGGCGUAAAGGGCUUGUAGGCGGUUAGUCACGUCGGAAGUGAAAACUCAGGGCUCAACCCUGAGCCUGCUUCCGAUACGGGCAAACUAGAGGGAUGCAGGGGAGAACGGAAUUCCUGGUGGAGCGGUGGAAUGCGCAGAUAUCAGGAGGAACACCGGUGGCGAAGGCGGUUCUCUGGGCAUUUCCUGACGCUGAGAAGCGAAAGCGUGGGGAGCAAACAGGCUUAGAUACCCUGGUAGUCCACGCCGUAAACGGUGGGCACUAGGUGU